AUAUGUGUUAUCAGACGUGUUAUUAUGACUCAUACCCUGCACAUUAGUGAUUUCAACAAACUAUAAAGUAAAAUGUUCAUUCCCACACACGUGACUGCUCUCCCACACUGCAUACCACUGAUAUUAUGUGACAGGCAACAGCAGCAUUUGAUAAAGAUAUUUCGCCAAAAGCUUGUUCCUCUUUCCCUUUGAGUAUGUUUGCCAUCAGCUUUGAGGCUGAUUUUACGAACUUCUUAGCAAAUCUGCCUUUGCUGUGACGGAUGGAAUUCUGAACCAUGCCUCUGAGGUUCUGUUCUAUUCUGGGCCCUCAGCAACAACAUUCAUCAAUUUCACCCUGGAAAACAUUAUUUUGUACUUGAUCUGGGAAGACACAACUGGUUCACUAGAAAGGCCACUUGUACUUUGCCUGAAAAUGACUCAGAAGUGUUGAGAGUUUCAUGCCACUCAUGACAAAGUUUCAUAACAGAGGAAGCACGGGAGACUCGGGACAAAUAAAUCACCUGCCAAGGAAAAUCCAAUUCACAGACAGUCAUGAUGGUACUUUCUGUUUACAAUUUUUCUUUUUCUGUCACUUGAGUGAAACUAUCAACCUGGCAGGUUCUCUGGUUUCUGGACAUCAAGAUUCACAUUCUAGAGGCGGAGUCAAGAUGGCUGACUAGGAGGACGCAGAAUUCGCGUCUCCCCACAACUAGGGCACCUACCAGGCACUGCUGGGGGACCACAGACACCGAAGGGGACGGGAAGAACCCCCAGCAACUGGCUUGUGGGAUUGUGGUUCCCAGGCCAGAAGUCGGGCCCAAGUUCCUGUGGUGUAAGCUCCGAGGCCAAACUGCUGGACUAACAGAGAACCUCAGACCCCAGGGAGUAUUAAUUGGAGUGAGGCCUCCCAGAGGUCCUCAUCUCAGCACAAAGACCCGUCUCUAUCCAACUGCCUGCAAACUCCGUGAUGGACGUCUGAGGUCAAACAAACAGUAAGACAGGAAUACAGCACCACCCAUCAAAAAAAAAAAAAAAAAAAAAAA